GCUUCGGUAGCUCAGUGGUCAGCUCGUCGAGCUAGCAGCCCGGUGCUCGCUGGUUCGAAUCUCCGCCUCAGAAGUU